GAUUGAACGCUGGCGGGCAGGCCCUAACACAUGCAAGUCGAGCGGUAGCACAGAGAGCUUGCUCUCGGGUGACGAGCGGCGGACGGGUGAGUAAUGUCUGGGAAACUGCCUGAUGGAGGGGGAUAACUACUGGAAACGGUAGCUAAUACCGCAUAACGUCGCAAGACCAAAGUGGGGGACCUUCGGGCCUCAUGCCAUCAGAUGUGCCCAGAUGGGAUUAGCUGGUAGGUGGGGUAACGGCUCACCUAGGCGACGAUCCCUAGCUGGUCUGAGAGGAUGACCAGCCACACUGGAACUGAGACACGGUCCAGACUCCUACGGGAGGCAGCAGUGGGGAAUAUUGCACAAUGGGCGCAAGCCUGAUGCAGCCAUGCCGCGUGUGUGAAGAAGGCCUUCGGGUUGUAAAGCACUUUCAGCGGGGAGGAAGGCGGUGAGGUUAAUAACCUCACCGAUUGACGUUACCCGCAGAAGAAGCACCGGCUAACUCCGUGCCAGCAGCCGCGGUAAUACGGAGGGUGCAAGCGUUAAUCGGAAUUACUGGGCGUAAAGCGCACGCAGGCGGUCUGUCAAGUCGGAUGUGAAAUCCCCGGGCUCAACCUGGGAACUGCAUUCGAAACUGGCAGGCUAGAGUCUUGUAGAGGGGGGUAGAAUUCCAGGUGUAGCGGUGAAAUGCGUAGAGAUCUGGAGGAAUACCGGUGGCGAAGGCGGCCCCCUGGACAAAGACUGACGCUCAGGUGCGAAAGCGUGGGGAGCAAACAGGAUUAGAUACCCUGGUAGUCCACGCUGUAAACGAUGUCGAUUUGGAGGUUGUGCCCUUGAGGCGUGGCUUCCGGAGCUAACGCGUUAAAUCGACCGCCUGGGGAGUACGGCCGCAAGGUUAAAACUCAAAUGAAUUGACGGGGGCCCGCACAAGCGGUGGAGCAUGUGGUUUAAUUCGAUGCAACGCGAAGAACCUUACCUGGUCUUGACAUCCACAGAACUUUCCAGAGAUGGUUUGGUGCCUUCGGGAACUGUGAGACAGGUGCUGCAUGGCUGUCGUCAGCUCGUGUUGUGAAAUGUUGGGUUAAGUCCCGCAACGAGCGCAACCCUUAUCCUUUGUUGCCAGCGGUUAGGCCGGGAACUCAAAGGAGACUGCCAGUGAUAAACUGGAGGAAGGUGGGGAUGACGUCAAGUCAUCAUGGCCCUUACGACCAGGGCUACACACGUGCUACAAUGGCAUAUACAAAGAGAAGCGACCUCGCGAGAGCAAGCGGACCUCAUAAAGUAUGUCGUAGUCCGGAUUGGAGUCUGCAACUCGACUCCAUGAAGUCGGAAUCGCUAGUAAUCGUAGAUCAGAAUGCUACGGUGAAUACGUUCCCGGGCCUUGUACACACCGCCCGUCACACCAUGGGAGUGGGUUGCAAAAGAAGUAGGUAGCUUAACCUUCGGGAGGGCGCUUACCACUUUGUGAUUCAUGACUGGGGUGAAGUCGUAACAAGGUAACCGUAGGGGAACCUGCGGCUGGAUC
rnacentral:rRNA from 1 species